CUUCAUUAUCCUCUCUUCCUUCUACCACAAUUCAUUUCACUCUCUUUCUCCAAAAUCUUCAAUCCUCAGCAAAAGCUUCUUCCAUGGCUUCAAUUUCAGCAGCUUCUGCAACUGCUGCUGCUGCUGCUUCUACAAAGAUUAAUACCAGUGGUACUGUUCUUCCUUCAAAAUCCUCUAAGCUUAUCCUUUCAUCUUCUUUUACACCAAACCCAUCAACCCUUUUCCUCCAUUCACCCGCCACUACUGCACCUUCUUCUUCUUCCUCCCGCCACCGCCGGUUUACUGUCCGAGCUGCGCGUGGUAAAUUCGAAAGGAAGAAACCCCAUGUCAAUAUUGGUACAAUUGGCCAUGUUGACCAUGGGAAAACCACACUUACAGCUGCUUUGACAAUGGCGCUUGCUUCUCUGGGUAACUCCGCCCCGAAGAAGUAUGAUGAAAUUGAUGCUGCCCCUGAAGAAAGGGCUCGUGGUAUUACGAUUAAUACUGCCACAGUGGAGUAUGAAACUGAAAAUCGGCAUUACGCUCAUGUGGAUUGCCCUGGUCACGCUGAUUAUGUGAAGAAUAUGAUUACUGGUGCUGCUCAAAUGGAUGGAGCUAUACUUGUUGUUUCAGGAGCUGAUGGUCCAAUGCCGCAGACUAAGGAACAUAUUUUGCUUGCUAAGCAAGUGGGUGUCCCUAAUAUGGUUGUUUUCUUGAACAAAGAGGACCAAGUUGAUGAUGAAGAGUUGCUUGAGCUUGUUGAGCUGGAGGUAAGAGAGUUAUUGUCAAGUUAUGAGUUUCCUGGUGAUGAUAUUCCUAUUCAUUGUGGGUCUGCCCUUUUGGCUUUAGAGGCUUUAAUGGCUAAUCCUACUAUUAAAAGGGGUGAUGAUCAAUGGGUUGAUAAGAUUUAUAAAUUGAUGGACUCUGUUGAUGAAUAUAUUCCUAUUCCACAAAGACAAACUGAAUUACCUUUCUUGAUGGCUAUUGAAGAUGUGUUUUCUAUUACUGGUAGAGGUACAGUGGCUACAGGGAGAGUGGAAAGAGGGACUGUUAAGACAGGGGAAAUUGUUGAUAUAGUUGGAUUGAAGGACACUAGGAACACUACAGUAACAGGAGUUGAGAUGUUUCAGAAGAUAUUGGAUGAAGCAAUGGCAGGAGAUAAUGUGGGGUUGUUGUUGAGAGGUAUUCAAAAGAUCGAUAUUCAAAGAGGAAUGGUGUUGGCAAAACCUGGAUCAAUUACUCCACACACCAAGUUUGAAGCUUUGGUGUAUGUGUUGAAGAACGAAGAGGGUGGCAGGCAUUCCCCUUUCUUUGCUGGUUAUAGGCCACAGUUUUACAUGAGAACAACUGAUGUGACCGGAAAGGUUACUGCUAUUAUGACUGACAAGGGAGAAGAAUCUAAGAUGGUCAUGCCUGGUGAUCGCGUAAACAUGGUGGUCGAGCUCAUUAUGCCAGUGGCUUGUGAGCAGGGUAUGAGGUUCGCUAUUAGGGAAGGAGGAAAGACUGUCGGAGCUGGUGUUAUUCAGAAAAUCUUAGAAUGAUGAACUUGCAGCUGAGCAUCCCUUUUCACAUAUGGUCGGAUUUUUCCAUUGAAGUUUAUUAAUCCAUUGUCAUAUAUGCGACUUUUUGGUUACUUUUGUUAUGUCUUAGAAUCUUACUUUAGUUGAAGUAUCCUGUUUUAUCGCCCAAUUCUACUGAACUUUUGAUAAUUUUUCCCGUCUCUUGUUUCACUUAUCAUUUGCUUGAAAGAAAUG
rnacentral:misc_RNA from 1 species